rnacentral:rRNA from 1 species
AUGCAAGUCGAGCGAAUGGAUUAAAAGCUUGCUUUUAUGACGUUAGCGGCGGACGGGUGAGUAACACGUGGGUAACCUGCCCGUAAGACUGGGAUAACUCCGGGAAACCGGGGCUAAUACCGGAUAACAUUUUGACUUGCAUGGUACAAAAUUGAAAGGCGGCUUCGGCUGUCACUUAUGGAUGGACCCGCGGUGCAUUAGCUAGUUGGUGAGGUAACGGCUCACCAAGGCAACGAUGCAUAGCCGACCUGAGAGGGUGAUCGGCCACACUGGGACUGAGACACGGCCCAGACUCCUACGGGAGGCAGCAGUAGGGAAUCUUCCGCAAUGGACGAAAGUCUGACGGAGCAACGCCGCGUGAGUGAUGAAGGCUUUCGGGUCGUAAAACUCUGUUGUUAGGGAAGAACAAGUGCUAGAUGAACAGCCUGGACCCUGGACGGUACCUAACCAAAAACCCACGGUUAACUACUGGCCACCACCCCCGGUAAUACUUAGGUGGCAGCCUUUAUCCGAAAUUAUUGGCCUUAAACCGCGCGCAGGUGGUUUCUUAGUUCGAAGGUAAAACCCCACGGUUCACCCUUGAGGGGUCAUUGAAACCGGGGAAACUUGAUUGCAAAAAAGAAAAGUGAAAUUCCAUGUGUACCGGUGAAAUGCUUAAAUAUGGAAGAAACACCGUUGGCAAAGGCGAUUUUCUGGUCUGUAACUACACACUAAGGCGCAAAACGCGUGGGAAGCAAACAGGAUUAUAUACCCUGGUAUUCCACCCCGUACACAAUAAGUGCAAUGUGUGAGAGGGUUCCCCCCCUUUAUUGCGGAAAUAAAGCAAUUUACGCUCUCCGCGGGGAGAGUAGGGUGGAGGGU